CGUUACGACUGGGGUAAACUAUAGUAACCUUUACUUGAGUUUCAUUAAUUUCAAACAGACUUCAUACGUUAUAUGUUCCUCAAGAAAAUUAUCUUUUGGUUGAUGUUGAGAUGCAGUUGCAUUUAAGGUGGCUCCCUACAGUUAUUCUUGUUUAAGCAAUAAUUCCGUAAAACAGGCUUAUUCGUGCAAAACGCGAAUUCCUUUCGACUUGGUGGCAAUAUUGGUCACCUAAGGAAUAUUUCGAACUGGAUUUCGACGAUGUCAAUGUUCCCAUGGCAACAUGACGACAGCAUAAAGCCUUCCAAUUUAACCCAUAAAUGUGCCGCUAUCUCAAAAACGAUGUCGGUGACCUAUCUUUUUUAUUUCAUAUAUCAAUAAGGAAUGAUGCUCUGCAACUGUGGUGAAAGUUUAAAAAAAUUCUGUAGUGUGUGAUUUUUUUAAAAGCGAAAACUUUAUUGCGAAAUUUCCACACUACAGAUUUUUUUAAAAUUUGAAAUUUAUAAAAUUUACCGCAAAAUAAAUUCGUGGUCAAAAUUUGAAGAUAGGUCACCGAUGAAACUAACGAGUAAAAUGCAAAUAAAGUUAGAAAAUAGCCUCGUGUAACUCGAGAAAUUCCCCUAUUGAAAAGCGUCGCUGACUAGUAAAAGAUUGUACGCCGGCGCAGAACGAGUUUUCAUUCAGCAAAAUCGAGCCGCAAUGUUGUUUUUACUGUUUUGUUUUUGUCAACUUUUCGAUUUAUUUGAGGGCUAUGGACAGCCAAGGAUUAUUGUGGAGGAUUAAAUCGAUGAAAACAAGGUUGAAGCUAAUUGAAUCCGGCCGUUUACUCAAUCUAUGAGCUGUAACAGCCUGCUAACAGGUGGACGUGUUUUUUUUGUUUCAUGUUUGGUUUUGUACUUUUUGCUAAAAAUGAACAAUUAGGCUAUGAAACUGAAAUAUUUUUCUGUUUACAUAUAAUCACUUUAAUCUUGUAGAAACACGACUAAAAACGUGAACGUUUUCUUGAGAAAUAAACAACUUUUUAAACGUUUGUAUGCAAUUUUGCAAAUGUUUUACAGUUGACAAUGUAUAUUUAAAAACAUUAAAACACAUUGUUUCGUAGCUAUUUUUUGGUCUAGUGGUAUUCGUAUCAUAUGUAGAAUUGCUGUAUAGUAAUUUGGCACACAAAACGAAGUAUUAUUCAACGCUUUUUCCCAUUAGAAACCUUUCAGAAAUAGCUUUUUUUUAAAAAAAAAAUUUUGUUUUGUUUUGAUCAUGCGGUUGCGUGGGAUAGUUCACGUACUGGUCCCGCGAAGAUCCCGCACGCAACUGUAGGGAGCCUCCUUAAGCCUAUUUGAAACACUUUGCGAUUUACAAGGCUUCGCUGAGAGAGCGAAACAGAAGACGGUAUUAAAUUGCCGUUUGAAACGAAACGAUCUGGAC